rnacentral:rRNA from 1 species
GAACGCUGGCGGCGUGCCUAAUACAUGCAAGUAGAACGCUGAAGCUUGGUGCUUGCACCGAGCGGAUGAGUUGCGAACGGGUGAGUAACGCGUAGGUAACCUGCCUGGUAGCGGGGGAUAACUAUUGGAAACGAUAGCUAAUACCGCAUAACAGUCGACAUUGCAUGAUGUUGACUUGAAAGGUGCAAUUGCAUCACUAAGAGAUGGACCUGCGUUGUAUUAGCUAGUUGGUGAGGUAACGGCUCACCAAGGCGACGAUACAUAGCCGACCUGAGAGGGUGAUCGGCCACACUGGGACUGAGACACGGCCCAGACUCCUACGGGAGGCAGCAGUAGGGAAUCUUCGGCAAUGGGGGCAACCCUGACCGAGCAACGCCGCGUGAGUGAAGAAGGUUUUCGGAUCGUAAAGCUCUGUUGUAAGAGAAGAACGAGUGUGAGAGUGGAAAGUUCACACUGUGACGGUAACUUACCAGAAAGGGACGGCUAACUACGUGCCAGCAGCCGCGGUAAUACGUAGGUCCCGAGCGUUAUCCGGAUUUAUUGGGCGUAAAGCGAGCGCAGGCGGUUAGAUAAGUCUGAAGUUAAAGGCUGUGGCUUAACCAUAGUACGCUUUGGAAACUGUUUAACUUGAGUGCAGAAGGGGAGAGUGGAAUUCCAUGUGUAGCGGUGAAAUGCGUAGAUAUAUGGAGGAACACCAGUGGCGAAGGCGACUCUCUGGUCUGUAACUGACGCUGAGGCUCGAAAGCGUGGGUAGCAAACAGGAUUAGAUACCCUGGUAGUCCACGCCGUAAACG